GACGAACGCUGGCGGCGUGCCUAAUACAUGCAAGUAGAACGCUGAAGGAGUAGCUUGCUUCUCUGGAUGAGUUGCGAACGGGUGAGUAACGCGUAGGUAACCUGCCUGGUAGCGGGGGAUAACUAUUGGAAACGAUAGCUAAUACCGCAUAAUAGUAGAUGUUGCAUGACAUUUGCUUAAAAGGUGCAAUUGCAUCACUACCAGAUGGACCUGCGUUGUAUUAGCUAGUUGGUGGGGUAACGGCUCACCAAGGCGACGAUACAUAGCCGACCUGAGAGGGUGAUCGGCCACACUGGGACGGAGACACGGCCCAGACUCCUACGGGAGGCAGCAGUAGGGAAUCUUCGGCAAUGGACGGAAGUCUGACCGAGCAACGCCGCGUGAGUGAAGAAGGGUUUCGGAUCGUAAAGCUCUGUUGUAAGAGAAGAACGAGUGUGAGAGUGGAAAGUUCACACUGUGACGGUAUCUUACCAGAAAGGGACGGCUAACUACGUG
rnacentral:rRNA from 1 species